UACGAAGGGUGCAAGCGUUACUCGGAAUUACUGGGCGUAAAGCGUGCGUAGGCGGUUUGUUAAGUCUGUCGUGAAAGCCCCGGGCUCAACCUGGGAAUGGCGAUGGAUACUGGCGAGCUAGAGUACGGUAGAGGAGAGUGGAAUUCCCGGUGUAGCAGUGAAAUGCGUAGAGAUCGGGAGGAACAUCAGUUGCGAAGGCGGUUCUCUGGGACGGUACUGACGCUGAGACGCGAAAGCGUGGGGAGCGAACAGG
rnacentral:rRNA from 1 species